ACACUUUAUUCAAGGUAUAAUAUUCCAAGGGGACAAAACACUAUUCAAGUUUGAAUUUAUACAAAGAUAAGAUUCUCCAACAAAGAUAAGAUUCUCCAACAAGGGGACAAAACACUAUCCAAGGAAAACACUAUUCAAAGACAAAGCUUGGAUUUAUGUGAGAAAUCAAGGAGCCAUCCAUUGGAGAUCCAAGGAUGGACAUUGAGUGGCCAAGGCUAUAAAUAGAAGGGUAAUCCCCUCAUUUUCACUCACCACACUACAAGCAAACUCAAGAGCUUUCACUCUACACUUGCCCACACGUUUUUGCCUCCAAGCUUCCAAGCUUUCAAGUGCUCAAGUGUCCUAGGUUUCCAAAGCUUCAAAAGCUCUCCAACUUCUUCUUCUAAUCUUCUUGUUCAUCUUUACAAGUAAGAAGUGUUGUUUGCUUUAAUAUUCCACUCCUCUAAUCACCUCUUGUGUGUGUCCACUUUGGUUGAGAGGGUUGUCUCAAUAGUACCAAGGUGUUAGAGAAGGUUUGUGAGCUCAACCAUAAAGCUCUAGUUUGGUUUUAUAGAGUUUCCGGAAAAACUCUUAGGUUGAGUCUACCUUUAAAGAUUUCAGAGGUUUUUAAGAGUUCCUUGAUACUCUAAGGUACUAACUUACCCGUAAAAGUUAGAGGUUCUUAAGAGUGCCCUUGAUACUCUAAGGUGUGAGUCUCCUCCAUUUUCCAACAAGAGCAUAGAAGGUAUUAUCCAUGGUGAAAUAACUCUGAAAAGGCCAAGGUAAUAGUUCACCAGAAUUUUAUCCCUCCAAUUAUACAAACUUGAGGGGAUAAACAACUUACCAAGAGAGUUAGCCGGAACUUCCGGUGAAGUAUCAUGUAUUUUCAGUAGCUAUCGGAGAGUAAAAAUAGCUCUCAAGCAAGGUACAUGAAGGUUAGUGAGAUAUUCCCUACCAAGGUUGGCUUAUUGGUCAUCCAGAGGUUGACAGCUCUACAUCUGUUAUAUAUAUAUAUAUAUUCCCUACCAAGUUCCACCCACUUGAUAGGUCAUACCUCAAAGAAAUGAGGAGCACCACUAGGCUUUAAAGGAUGUGAUUCCUUUAGGUAGUUUGAGAUUCUUUUGAAAGCAAUUGUGAAUGUAUGAUCCCUAUACCUUGAGAUGUGGAACUGAUCGAAUAAAUCACAUUUGUUCUUGGCCAUAAAAGUUAUAGCUCUCAAGCUAGGAGGGUCUCUUAGUGUUUUUAGAGUGGGAGUCAAUUUAUCUCCAGGGUCUGGAAUGUCAAUCAUAUCGUGUUUGAGGAGUGCGUAGUUGAAUCCACAUAUUUCAUAUGUCAAUCAUAUCGUGUAUUUCAAUUAUAUAUUUGUUUUCAUUUGUUAUCAUUUUAGGUUCAUAAUGAAAUAGUUAAGUAUCGUCAAGUUGAUCCCCUCAUAUCCAAAACUUUUCGAAAUUCAGAUUUCAUAAAUAAUUGCCCUGAAAGAACUCAUCCAUCACCUGUUCAUGAAACUCAUCAACCCAUGAUAACUGAUAUUCAGUGUCAUAAGGUAUCUAACUCUCCCAAAUCUGAACAAAGUCAUACAUCUCCCAAACUAAUCAACCUAUCACAACUGAUAUUCAGUGUUCUAAUUUUUCAAUUUUUCGAAAUCUGAAAAAACUCAUCUAUCUCCCAAACUCGAAACUCAUCAACAUUUGAAACUGAUAUUAAGUUUCAUGAUGUAUCUAAUUCAUCUAAAUCUUCAUCUAUGCGGAAGAAUGUUAGAAAGCGGGUUGAUGAAUCUGCCAUUGUUCUAUACUCCAGGAGAUGUCCAUAGAAGUAAAGAUUAUUCUUCCUAUGAUUUCUUAAAUGAAGUUGUUGUGGAUGAUUUGAUUCGUAUCAUUCUCACCUUUAAAUUUUUUUAAUUUGGACACGUGAAAAACCGGAUGUAUUUGUUGUUUUCCGGUAGCUUUAUCUUCAUAGCAACUUCAUUUAUUUUCUGUAAAAUUAGGAAGGGUCCGUAAUAUUUUUGGCCGAGUUUGUGGUGAAAUCCUGCCUUUAUCGAAGUCUGUCUAUAUGGUUGCAGUCGGACCAACACUAGAUCUCCCUCCUCGUAAGUAAUUGGUGUUCUUUUUUUAUCGACUGUAUUUUUCAUUUUUUUUUUUGUGCUUUCUCCAGAUUUUUUUUUACUGUUUGCUUGAUCUCUUCCCUUCGAGUAAGCACCUGAUCUACUGCCUGAAUUUUUGAUGAUAGGAAAAUAUAUUCAGGUACAUCUGGUGGCUCCCUCCUAUAUAGCAUCUUGAAGGGUGACAUUGCUAUUGCAGAUUGAUGCGAGGAAUUAUACCAUAAUUCUGCAAAAGGUAGUAUUUCUAACCAUCUUCGUGGUUUGUCGUGAAUGGCAGAUCUUAUGUAAUGCUCGAUUGUUUUAUUAACAAUCUCCGUCUGCCCAUCAGACUAAGGGUGGUAGGCAGAUGAUAGUGACAUCUUGCAUCCACUUAACCGGUUAAGUUCUUUCCAAAACUUGCAGGUAAACACUUUAUCACGAUCUGAUACUAUAGACCUUGGAAAUCCAUGUAAUUUAAUUAUGUUGUGUAUGAAAUAAGUGGAAACACCUGUUGCAAUGUAGGACGACGGUAGAGCCCCUAGGUGCGCGAACUUGGACAAUCUGUCCACAACAACCACGAUUACGCUCCUUCCUUUAACAAUCGGUAAUCCUGUAAUAAAAUCAAUCGAAAUAUCUUGCCAUACUGUUUUUGGAAUAGGGAGUGGCAUUAAUAAACCAUACUUCUUAAUAUUCUCUACCUUCAUUUGCUGACAACAUAAACAUUUAUCAACAUAAUCUUUAAUUUUUACUCCAAUACCUUCCCACCAAAAAGAGUUACGAAUUCUUUUGAAUGUUCUUUCGAAUCUCGUGUGUCCACCAAUUAUUGAACCAUGUAGUGUUUCUAGGAUUUUAUUUACCAACUCAGAAUCCUUAGGUAUCCAGAUUCUCAUCUUAUAGAAAAUCAGGUCAUCCACAAAUCCAUAAUCACCACCUUUCCUCUUCCCUACCAAUAUAUCAUUUUUUAUGUUCUGUUCCUAAUUCCUAUCUUUGAUUUCUGUUUUGAGAGCUACUAUAAUACAAUUCUUUUGUAUAAUCAUAGAGUAAAAUGUACUGCCUGUAUUUGGAGUUUCCGAGUCAUUUUCUUCAAAUUGUCUUGAAAAUCCAUCUGCUGUUGUAUUUUCUCUACCUGGCUUGUACAUAAUUUCAAAGUCGAACCCUAAGAGUUUAUAAAGAAACUCUUGUUGUCCUGGAGUCUGAAUUACUUGUGUCAAUAGAUUUUUCAAACUUCGAUUAUCGGUCUUGAUCAUAAAAUGCCUCCCUAAAAGGUAGUGACACCAUUUACCGACAGUUUGCGUAAUUGCAUAUAAUUCUCUUGUAUAAGUAGAAGUCAUCCUUCUUCUCCCAUAUAAUUUCCUACUGUAAUAAGCCAAUGGAUGCUCAUCUUGUAUUAAGACAGCCCCGAUACCUGUCUGGGAUAUAUCUGUUUCCACGACAAAUAGAUUAGAAAAAUUCGGAUAACUUAAAACUGGAGUUGCAAGCAUUGCCUUUUUCAAGGCAGUAAAACUAUCUGUUGCUUUUUCACUCUAUUUAAAUUUAUUCUUCUUCAACAAUUCUGUCAUUGGCUGAUCUAUCUAAGCAUAUUGUUUCACAAAUCGUCUAUAGUACCCUGUUAAGCCUAAGAACCCUCUUAGUUGCUUAAUAGUAGAAGGAAUUUGCCAACGCAGCAUAGCAUCCACUUUCUCUGGAUCCGGUCGGACUCCAUCUCCUGCUAUAACAUGACCCAAAAAUUGUAAUUGUUUCUUUUCAAAGGAACACUUGCUUAACUUCGCUGCCAAUGAAUUUUUCUUUAAGAUUUCAAAAACUGCCUCCAAAUGAAUUAUGUGCUCCUGUUCUGAUUUGCUAAAAAUCAAUAUAUCGUCAAAAAAUAUUAUCACAAACCUUCUUAGGUGUUCUUCAAAAAUUUCAUUCAUUAGGGCUUAGAAGGUAGCCGGUGCAUUGGUUAGCCCAAAGGGCAUUACCAAAAAUUCAAAGUGUCCGCUAUGAGUUCUGAAAGCCGUCUUAGGAAUGUCUGGAGGAUGUAUUCGGAUCUGAUGGUAACCCGAUUUUAGAUCAAGUUUUGAAAAUAUUGUCGCACCUCUAAGUUCACCCAGCAAUUCGUCAACAGUUGGGAUUGGAAAACGAUCCUUAACUGUUAUAUUGUUUAAUCCCCGAUAAUCAACACAUAGACGUCAGCCUCCAUCUUUCUUCUUUACUAAAAUUAUCGGCGAUGAAUAUGGGCGUGUGCUUGGUCUCACAAUGCUCUGAUUUAUCAUUUCUUUGACUAGAUUUUCCAUUUCAGCUUUUUGAUAUUAUAGGUAGCGAUAAGGCUUUAUCGAGAUGGGUUUAACUCCUGGUAUAAUGUGUGUGAAAUGGUCUUUGUUUCUGAAUGCUGGUAAUGAAGUUGGAACUUCAAAUAUAUCAACAUAUGAAUUGAGUAGCUCCUUUUCUCCAUUGGUACUUUCUGAUUCAAUUCCUUGAUCUGAUCCACCUCAUUCGUGUUACUGAACUGCAAGUGUAAUAAAUAGCCAGAAUGUGUUCUUGCCGAUAAUGACUUAAGCUCUCUGAUGAUAAGGGUUUAUCAUCAAUCCAACUAGUACCUGACUACUUCACUACUUUAUCAUUCAAUUCAAACUCCAUGUCUAAUUCUUUAUAAUUUGUCACCACUCUUCCCAGUGUACGUAGCCAUUGUAUCCCCAGUAUGACAUUUGCACCCUCUACUGGAAGUAGAUAUAAAUCAAUACUUAUUUCAGUACCUUGAAUUGUUACCCUUGUAUUUUUGCAUACUCGAUCACACUUCAAUUUGACUCCGCUGCCCGUUGUAACUAAAAACUCUACUGUUUUAGAUACUGGAAGUUGGGUCUUUUCCACCAUAGAAGAUUGUAUAAAGUUGUGUGUUGACCCAGAGUCAACCAAUAUAGAAACUUGUUUUCUUCCAAUCAGCCCUUUGUAAUCUGAUUUUUUUAGGAUCAAUUACUCCGUCCAAUGCAUUCAAGCUAACUAGUGUAGUUUCGCUGGAUCUAGGUUGCUCUUGAUGAAACUCCUCUUCAUCUGAACUUUCCUCAUCAGAAUGAUUAAAUUCAAAAAGUUGCUUCCCAUCAGCCGAUAGUAUAAAUAGUGUACCUUUACACUUGUGACCCUUGAACCAUUUUUCCUCACAAUUAAAACAUAGAGACUUCUCCCUUAUGAUCUUCUUUUCUUCUUCGCUCAGUUGUUUCCUUACAUUAGGAAUUGCUGAAAUAACAUUUUAUGUUCUCUUAUGUGGUGGCACAUAAGAUUUUGAUUCUCCCGCAGUCCAUUUUGACCGAUAUUUUGAUUUUGUUCCUCGAACUUCCUCGCACAUAUUUGCUAGCGAAAAAGCUUCAUUGAGAUCUUUAGGCCUGGCCAGUAGUAAUUUCUCCUGCAAUUUAGGAUUUAAUCCUAUAAUGUACAUUUCUUUUAACGUAUCCCUGGAUACUCCGUGAGCUUUAGUAGCCAACCCCUCGAACUUCUUUUGAUAUUCUGUUGCUGAUAAGGAUUCUUGAUUCAACUUACUUAGUCUUCCUGUAAGUUAUUUUUUUCUUCCAUCCACACCAGCCAAUCUAGAGCAUCUCCUUCUAGACUCUAAGUUGCUAAGAAUAACCUUUUAUCAUCCCUGAUAUGAUAGUGUCUGAAAAACUUUGUAAUCUUCAAUAACCAUCCUUCUACAUUUUUCCCAGAAUUUUUUGGAAUAUCCUUUCCUGGUGGUUUGAUGCAGUCUUGUUUGAUUUGAGACCUGUGACUUCCCCACCAGAUCCACUAGACGUAGAUCCACUAAAGGUAGAUCCAAGGACCUUACUUUGGACUUCUUUAAUUGAUUUUUCUAGUUGUUUAGUAACCACCGAAAAUUGAGUUACGGCAGCAGAAUUUAAUAAAAGUGUCUGCUCUCUUUGCUCUUUUUGGAUCUCUUCUAGACUCGCCUCCAUUGUUGCCAACAAUACCUAAUUAUAUCGAUGUGAUAUUAGAGAUAUUUCAAAUCAGAAGAAUAAAUGAACGAUUCUUCCCUACUGGAGACCUAGUUAAGGGCUAGGACAUCCCCUGAAAAUUGAAUAUUGAAAUUUUGUCCUGACGUAUUUGGCAACAACCACCUUUUCUUUGCAGCAACGUUUGCAAUUUCUGCUCUUUCCUUAGAUCUGAACAGCUAGAAAAUAGUUCUAUAAAUAGAAGAUUUAUAUAUUAAAUUGAUUUGAACGGUUACUUUCCUGCUAGGGAUCUAGUCAAGGGCUAGGACAUCCCUUGGAGAAUUUGUUUGAAUGAUUUUCGUCGUUCCAGACCGUGAGCACCCUUACACCAGAGAUUAGAACACCGAUUGAAAGCACCAAUUGUAACCAUUAGACUGUAAUUGAUGUGGGAAGAGAGCUGAAAGGAUCCUAUGAACCUCCAUGUAGCUGUCUGCUAAGAUUUGCUCAUUUCAUAAAAAAAAACAAAAACAAAUAAGUUUGCCUUAUAUAGACUUAUUACCAUAACUAACUAACGUAAUGGGCUAGCCCAUUAUUCAAGUUCAUAACCAUGAAAUUUAAUGGAUCUUUGCUUGACCCGUUUACCUUUUCCAAGUAUAAGAUCUUCUUGAAACAUAUAUAUCAACAGUCUUUGUACUUCUCAAGGACUUAGGGUUAUCACUUUUUGCCCUCACAACUGGAUGCUCUUCCACCUCUUUUCCUAACUCUUCAACUCCUUCAUCUCCUUCUCUGUUAACUUCUUUUAGAUCUAACUUGGCUUCAUCUUCUUCUUCUACAGUUAACAUCCGUCGAACAUCCUCAAGAAGCUCCGGCGACGUCGUAAUCUCGGUUACAUAUUCUAACCACAAUAGUUAACCAAUUCUUUACUUUGGUUGGGUCUAAAUAUUUUCGGCCCUUUGAAGAAUCAAUGGGCUCGCCCUAGUUGAUGGCAAUCGAAUUCUCCUCCGAUGAGCGGAAACCGAAGUCUUCAAUCGCUAAAUCUUCCUUCAAUAGUUGAACAAGUUUUGAUCUGUUACAACAUUCUUCAUAUAAUAGUGCACGCAAUGGGCAAAAGGCUUGUCUCCAAAGAUCCUCACUGAUAGUAUCAAUUCUUCCUUUGUUGGGUGGGAUCUAUCAGCAAAGACAAGUGCAUGUUUUAUGCCAAAUUUGAGCUCAGGUGCUUGAUAGUUCAAUGCUUUAUUAUCUCCUAUUUCCGGAGAGCUUCUCCUCCAUUUUCCAACAAGAGCAUAGAAGGUAUUAUCCAUGGUGAAAUAACUCUGAAAAGGCCAAGGUAAUAGUUCACCAGAAUUUUAUCCCUCCAAUUAUACAAACUUGAGGGGAUAAACUGUAGAAUCAAAAUUGUCGACAUAGGAUUAUAUUUUAGUCAUGUCAAUUUAAACCCUAAUUACACUAUUAAUCAAUAGGGGUUAAAUAAGUCAAUCGAUAUUAAACCUAACUCUAGUUAGUUAAUUAAUCAUUUGAGUUAAGGGUUUAAGUCAAAGUUAAAAGUCAAAUUGGGAGAAUUGCAUUUUCACCUUGAAUAUUAUUAAUUGGAAUAAUUGCAUUUCCACCUUAAAUAUUAUUAUUUGGAAUAAUUGUAUUUCUACCUUCAAUAUUAUUAUUAUUAUCUUUUGACACUUUAUUCAAGGUAUAAUAUUCCAAGGGGACAAAACACUAUUCAAGUUUGAAUUUAUACAAAGAUAAGAUUCUCCAACAAAGAUAAGAUUCUCCAACAAGGGGACAAAACACUAUCCAAGGAAAACACUAUUCAAAGACAAAGCUUGGAUUUAUGUGAGAAAUCAAGGAGCCAUCCAUUGGAGAUCCAAGGAUGGACAUUGAGUGGCCAAGGCUAUAAAUAGAAGGGUAAUCCCCUCAUUUUCACUCACCACACUACAAGCAAACUCAAGAGCUUUCACUCUACACUUGCCCACACGUUUUUGCCUCCAAGCUUCCAAGCUUUCAAGUGCUCAAGUGUCCUAGGUUUCCAAAGCUUCAAAAGCUCUCCAACUUCUUUUUCUAAUCUUCUUGUUCAUCUUUACAAGUAAGAAGUGUUGUUUGCUUUAAUAUUCCACUCCUCUAAUCACCUCUUGUGUGUGUCCACUUUGGUUGAGAGGGUUGUCUCAAUAGUACCAAGGUGUUAGAGAAGGUUUGUGAGCUCAACCAUAAAGCUCUAGUUUGGUUUUAUAGAGUUUCCGGGAAAACUCUUAGGUUGAGUCUACCUUUAAAGAUUUCAGAGGUUUUUAAGAGUUCCUUGAUACUCUAAGGUACUAACUUACCCGUAAAAGUUAGAGGUUCUUAAAAGUGCCCUUGAUACUCUAAGGUGUGAGUCUACCCGUAAAAGACUGGUUCCUAAGCGAAGUAGCCUUAAAGCUUAGAGAGGUUUUUAAGAGUUCCUUGAUACUCUAAGGUACUAACUUACCCGUAAAAGUUAGAGGUUCUUAAGAGUGCCCUUGAUACUCUAAGGUGUGAGUCUACCCGUAAAAGACUGGUUCCUAAGCGAGGUAGCCUUAAAGCUUAGAAAGGUUUUGCCAUUACCUUUAGGCGAGUGAAUUCCGGCUGUUGUCGGGACUGGACUAGCCCUUGUUUGGGUGAACCAGUAUAAAUCUCUUGUGUUGUUCUCUGUUAAUUAUAGUUCUAUCUUUUACUUAAAAAACAACACUUAAUUAAAAAGAUCCCUCUUCCAGUUAUCUGGUCAAACACAGAGGUUGACUACUUUACGCAGAUCCCUCAUCCAGUUAUCUGGUCAACUAUCUGAGGUUAUAUUCAUUGCUCUAAAUCCUUAUAUUUGUUCAAGUAUUACUUAUCAU
rnacentral:lncRNA from 1 species